rnacentral:rRNA from 1 species
GACGAACGCUGGCGGCGUGCUUAACACAUGCAAGUCGAACGGUGAAGGGACCAGCUUGCUGGUUCUGGAUGAGUGGCGAACGGGUGAGUAACGCGUGAGUAACCUGCCCCCUUCUUCUGGAUAACCGCAUGAAAGGGUGGCUAAUACGGGAUAUUCUGGGUCUGUCGCAUGGCGGGCCCGGGAAAGAUAUUGCUUCGGUGGGGGAUGGGCUCGCGGCCUAUCAGCUUGUUGGUGGGGUGAUGGCCUACCAAGGCGGGGACGGGUAGCCGGCCUGAGAGGGUGGACGGUCACACUGGGACUGAGACACGGCCCAGACUCCUACGGGAGGCAGCAGUGGGGAAUAUUGCACAAUGGGCGCAAGCCUGAUGCAGCGACGCCGCGUGAGGGAUGGAGGCCUUCGGGUUGUAAACCUCUUUCGCCAGUGAAGCAGGCCUGCUCCUUGUGGGUGGGUUGACGGUAGCUGGAGAAGAAGCGCCGGCUAACUACGUG